rnacentral:rRNA from 1 species
ACGGGUGAGUAAUACAUCGGAACGUAUCCUGGAGUGGGGGAUAGCCCGGCGAAAGCCGGAUUAAUACCGCAUACGCUCUGAGGAGGAAAGCGGGGGACCUUCGGGCCUCGCGCUCAAGGGGCGGCCGAUGGCGGAUUAGGUAGUUGGUGGGGUAAAGGCCUACCAAGCCGACGAUCCGUAGCUGGUCUGAGAGGACGACCAGCCACACUGGGACUGAGACACGGCCCAGACUCCUACGGGAGGCAGCAGUGGGGAAUUUUGGACAAUGGGGGCAACCCUGAUCCAGCAAUGCCGCGUGUGUGAAGAAGGCCUUCGGGUUGUAAAGCACUUUUGUCCGGAAAGAAAUCAUCGGGGCCAAUACCCCUGGUGGAUGACGGUACCGGAAGAAUAAGCACCGGCUAACUACGUGCCAGCAGCCGCGGUAAUACGUAGGGUGCGAGCGUUAAUCGGAAUUACUGGGCGUAAAGCGUGCGCAGGCGGUGCUGUAAGACCGAUGUGAAAUCCCCGGGCUUAACCUGGGAACUGCAUUGGUGACUGCAGCGCUGGAGUAUGGCAGAGGGGGGUGGAAUUCCACGUGUAGCAGU